GGGAAGGCAUAUUCCAGGAUCACUUGUUUCCUUUGCCUAGAAACACACUUUAAAGGAGUGGAUGAUACCCCAGACUCUGAUACCUCAGAUUCUGAAAUUGUGAUCACACCCAGGAGCACAGCUCAAUUCAAUCAGGCUGACACUGUGGUGUUUGAACCACAAAACCAAAGUACACCCAAACGCAAACCUGAAGAUG